GUGACAUAUUUUGGUUGACAUGAUUUGCCAAUAAGCUUAUGAAUUAUUGAUGAAUGUUUGCUAGAUGCGCGACCAGGAUUCAUACUUAAGUUUCUGAAACUUUCUCUGAUCGUAAAAUUUAUUUUAACACGAGCUUUCGACUGCCAGUCUGCAGUCACAGGUAAAGUGAUACUAAAUAUAAAGUUUCAGGUAAAGUGAUACUAAAUAUAAAAUUUCACCUACGUAAACUCUGGCAUAAAACUGUGUAAUAAAAAUC